GGGAGUAUGGGGGACUUUUGGGAUAACAUUGGAAAUGUAAUUGAGGAAAUUACGUAAUAAAAAAAUAUUUAAAAAAACAAUUAUUAAAUUUAAACUUUCUAACACAAAAUAAUCCAAAGAUAUUCUAAUUUGAUGCAUAGCGCUAAGGAUUGAUAAUCGAGUAAUAUUACAAAUGUAUGUUUUCUAUAAUUAAGCUCUUAUGUUUACAUAAGCACAGGAAACUUUGCAUGUUCAGUAAAAACACCGCAUCAUGUCCCAUAUAGCAGUGUUGGAUCUGAGCUCAGGUAUUUUAUACAGCAUCAUUGGCUUUGGCUGCCAAGGUGCAUGUCAAGACUUUCUCCCUCCCCCUCC
rnacentral:lncRNA from 1 species